GGACCCUGAAGGAGACAUUCGACAGGUUUGGAAAGGAUUGACCAUUAUUGAAUUCGUUCAAGAAAGAGUGAUCUGCAUGAGAUAGCCCCUGCUAAAAAGGCAGCAGAAAAGGCUGUGCAGUAUCCAGAAGGGAAGUCUAGUAUUGGAGAAUGAAGACCUUACUAAACUACGGGAACCCAAAGGAUUGAGUAAAGUUGAAGUCGUUUGGCGGUUUUAUAAAGGAUCGACCUUAUUGAAUCUUCGUUCAGGAAUAGUGGCCUGCAUCUGAAACGACUCCUGCAAGAUCAGGAACGUUUAUGCAGAGUUCACCCUCCAGGAAAAAGAAAAUGCUUGAAUGAGAAACGUCUCCACCAAUUUAUGAUUGGAAAUCAAACUUUUCCUGGGAAAAUUGGAAUUCCAGAAACGCUUCUCCAAGCAGAACCAAUUGACCUCUUCCGGCUGUUUGCAACAGAACAUGAUUCUUACUGUCAGGCAGCUCUGGCAUACGGGAGGCCAAGCACAAUCCUGAUUUGAUGGAGACAGCCGUGAGAAGCACGGAGGAACACCUGGAGUAACUUCUGAAAUGCCCGCUUCGCUGCCGCUGCUACUGCGCGAUCGAGAAUCUCCGGAGGGGAAGGCCCCAAAUCCUC